ACAGAAUCCUUUCUGCACAAACUAGAAUGAUUUGACACUCAGUGUGCGGAAACGCUUCUGCUC
rnacentral:pre_miRNA from 1 species